AGCGAACGCUGGCGGCAUGCUUAACACAUGCAAGUCGCACGGGUGGGUUUCGGCACAUUCGUGGCGGACGGGUGAGUAACGCGUAGGGAUUUAUCGUUGGGUGGGGGAUAACCUUGGGCAACUGGGGCUAAUAUCGCAUGACGCCUCUGGGCCAAAGCUGUAGGCGCCUGACGAGGAACCUGCGUUCGAUUAGCUUGUUGGUGGGGUAAUGGCCUACCACGGCUGCGAUCGCUAGCUGGUCUGAGAGGAUGAUCAGCCACAAUGGGACUGAAACACGACCCAGUGUCUUACGGGAUGAAGCAGUGGUGAAUAGUGGAUACUGGGCGCAAGCCUGAUCCAGCCAUGCCGCGUAGAUUAAGAAGGUUGUCAGAUUGUAAGGUCCUUUCGGCGUGGACCAUGCUGGCGUUACCCGCAGAGGAAGCCCCGGCUAACUUCGUGCCAGCCACCGCCGGAAAAC
rnacentral:rRNA from 1 species